UACGUAGGGUGCAAGCGUUAAUCGGAAUUACUGGGCGUAAAGCGUGCGCAGGCGGUUCUAUAAGACAGAUGUGAAAUCCCCGGGCUCAACCUGGGAACUGCAUUUGUGACUGUAGAGCUGGAGUGCGGCAGAGGGGGAUGGAAUUCCGCGUGUAGCAGUGGAAAUGCGUAGAUAUGCGGAGGAACACCGAUGGCGAAGGCAAUCCCCUGGGCCUGCACUGACGCUCAUGCACGAAAGCGUGGGGAGCAAACAGG
rnacentral:rRNA from 1 species